rnacentral:rRNA from 1 species
AACGAACGCUGGCGGCAGGCCUAACACAUGCAAGUCGAACGCCCGUAGCAAUACGGGAGUGGCAGACGGGUGAGUAACGCGUGGGAACGUGCCCUUCGGUUCGGAAUAACUCAGGGAAACUUGAGCUAAUACCGGAUACGUCCGUAAGGAGAAAGAUUUAUUGCCGAAGGAUCGGCCCGCGUCGGAUUAGCUAGUUGGUGGGGUAAUGGCCCACCAAGGCGACGAUCCGUAGCUGGUCUGAGAGGAUGAUCAGCCACACUGGGACUGAGACACGGCCCAGACUCCUACGGGAGGCAGCAGUGGGGAAUAUUGGACAAUGGGCGAAAGCCUGAUCCAGCCAUGCCGCGUGAGUGAAGAAGGCCUUAGGGUUGUAAAGCUCUUUCAGCGGGAAGAUAAUGACGGUACCCGCAGAAGAAGUCCCGGCUAACUUCGUGCCAGCCGCCGCGGUAAC